GGGAUAAUAGUAUAGUGGUCAGUACUUCUCGUUGUGGUUUCACAGCGAUCCGAGAGGACCCAGGUUCGAUUCCUGGUUAUCCCA